GGGGAAGUAUUGCACAAUGGGGGAAAGACCCUGUGCAGCGACGCCGCGUGAAGGAAGAAGUAUCUCGGUAUGUAAACUUCUAUCAGCAGGGAAGAAAAUGACGGUACCUGACUAAGAAGCCCCGGCUAACUACGUGCCAGCAGCCGCGGUAAUACGUAGGGGGCAAGCGUUAUCCGGAUUUACUGGGUGUGAAGGGAGCGUAGACGGAGCAGCAAGUCUGAUGUGAAAGGCAGGGGCUCAACCCCUGGACUGCAUUGGAAACUGUUGAUCUUGAGUACCGGAGGGGUAAGCGGAAUUCCUAGUGUAGCGGUGAAAUGCGUAGAUAUUAGGAGGAACACCAGUGGCGAAGGCGGCUUUACUGGACGGUAACUGACGUUGAGGCUCGAAAGCGUGGGGAGCAAACA
rnacentral:rRNA from 1 species